rnacentral:rRNA from 1 species
UACGGGGGGAGCAAGCGUUGUUCGGAUUUACUGGGCGUAAAGGGCUCGUAGGCGGCCAACUAAGUCAUACGUGAAAUCCCUCAGCUUAACUGGGGAACUGCGUGUGAUACUGGAUGGCUUGGAUUUGGGAGAGGGAUGCGGAAUUCCAGGUGUAGCGGUGAAAUGCGUAGAUAUCUGGAGGGACACCGGUGGCGAAGGCGGCAUCCUGGACCAAUACUGACGCUGAGGAGCGAAAGCCAGGGGAGCAAACGGG